UACGUAGGGGGCGAGCGUUGUCCGGAUUUAUUGGGCGUAAAGAGCGUGUAGGCGGCCAGACAGGUCCGUUGUGAAAACUAGAGGCUUAACCUCUAGACGUCGAUGGAAACCGUCUGGCUAGAGUCCGGAAGAGGAGAAUGGAAUUCCUGGUGUAGCGGUGAAAUGCGCAGAUAUCAGGAAGAACACCCGUGGCUAAGGCGGUUCUCUAGUACGGUACUGACGCUGAGACGCGAAAGCGUGGGGAGCGAACAGG
rnacentral:rRNA from 1 species